AAAGCGUUUGUAGCAUUGCGUUGACUUCAUCCCGUUGAUGUCUGAUUGGACGAAAUUCGUCCAUCCCCACCCUAUUAUGCGCAAUGCUUCACCUUUAGAAUUCCACCAUGUGUAAAUCAUUAUAACAAUACCGGUUCGUAAUGUCACCUGUCACUUCUUCGGUAUAAUUACUACAAAUACUCCAACGCGUUAUUAUUUGUAUACCAAAUUGAUGAUCAUAAAAGUAUUGCCGCGUAUCAAAAUGGAAACCAAUCAUUUUGAUACUAUUGACGAAAGUGCAAAUGAGAAUGUAAUAGGAGCCGAGACUGUUGAUGUGGUUUUGGAAGAAGCUGAGAUAGUGGAUUGCGAUGCUGAGGAACAACAGGAUGAUGACAUACAGUAUCACCUGUAUGCGAUAAACAGACGUAACAAUACAGUAGCGUACAAAGUUAUGCAGGUCAGCAACGAUAGCAGAGAGGAUAAUGAAAUUUCAAUAGCCACUCCUGUGAAUAAUACUGUUCAAGUUUUGACUGCACCAUUGAAUGGACAAUUAUACGUACUCAGUAAUAGCAAUGACAUUGUAACGUCAGAAUCCGCUAAAGCAGUUGUGCCUAGUGUAGCUAAAUUGCAUAUAGAAGGAUCACAGAAUAUUGUAACCACUGUAAAGAAGAGGGAUGAAAGACGAAGGGUAACACAUAAUGAAGUUGAAAGACGUAGAAGGGACAAAAUUAGCAGUUGGAUUUCUAAGUUGGCAAAACUCUUAGCAGAUUGCGAGCAGUAUAUGGAUGAAGAAGACACAAAACCGAAUUUAGAAACACUAAGCAAAGGGGGUAUUCUAGCACGAGCUUAUGAAUACAUUAUGGAAUUAAAAGAUGCUCCGGACAAAUUAACCCUUAGCUUGAAUGAAAACGUGCUGUUAAUGGAAGAAAUUGAUCAACUGCAACAAGUCAUAACUGAAUUAAAAGACGAAAAUUCACAAUUGAAAAACCAAGUUUCAAAACACGGAGAUGUAACUAUACUCGGUACUUAAAUCUUUAUAAGGAUUAAAAUGAUUCCUUGUUUAUAUUUUCUGUUGCUGAUAUAAAUGAACAUCGUUAUGACAAGAUGGAAUAAGAACACACAUGGACAAAUAUAAUAGUUAUAAAAUGUUUAUUUACAUAUUUGUAACUCAGCAUAUGUAUAUACAGUGUCCCAAAAUUCGCGACUCAAAAUACUAUGGCAAGAAAGUUUUGGAAAAGUUAAAUAAAAAGUUAUUUGUGAAUUUUUAUUUUAAGCAAUAGAUUUUGAGAUACAAGAAUUUAGAUAUGGCCAAUUACAGAUUACCUGUGUAUUAAUAAGCGCGCUGAAAGGCGCGUUCACCAGCGUUCACUAAUACUAUUGCAAGUACAAUUCGUAGACAGGUCAUCUAAACGUAAUCUGUAAUUGGCCAUAUUUAAAUCCUCAUCAUCCCUAAAAUUACUGCUUAAAAUAACUUUUUUACUUAAUUUUUCGAGAAUUUUCUUGCUAUGGUAUUUUGUGUCGUGAAAUUUUGAACCACCUGUGUGUAAUAUAUGCGUGUGCGCGCGCGCGCGCGCAUGUGUGUGUGUGUGUGCGUUUGUAUUUGGAAAACCAUGACAAUCAUUGUAUAACAUUCUAUUGUACAUAUUGUAAACAAUAAUUAGCGAACAAUUAAUUUCGCAAUGACGAAUUUAAUCAUUUUGACGAUGAUUAAAUUAAAGAAAUAUACAAAUAUACAAAAUGAUAUCACCGUUUAAUCAGUAAUCAACUAUAUGAACGUCAGAUAUAUUGCUUAAACAAAAACAGCGAUAUCAUGCGUUAUCUGUGCUUUUCCUCUUGCAUCGUUAAUGUAGCGCGAGCUCGCUACGGAAAAAAAAUGAAAAAAUUUUCUGCUUCAUCAUCAGAAUGUACGCACACGGUUAUCAAUAUCAAAUCUCAGGGAAAAUAUAAACACGUUGUAUGUAAGCAACUGCCUAAAUUAUAACAAUAACGCUUAAUUUAAUACUUAUUGCUUCGAAGCGUUUUUCCUCAAGUUUUGUGCAGAUCCUGCUUGUAUGACAGUUUCUGAAAAAAAGUGGGAGGGAGGAUAGUAUUCUCCGAAAUAUAAAUUAAUCGGUAUUGAGAUUACAUUAGAUAUGUAAUUCACCUGUCAAUACAUGAGAGAGCUCGUGAGUGCAAGAUACGAAAUGUUCACGGAUUUCGAUUACUUCUCCGUCGUGACAGUGCAAGUACAGUUUUGUGAAUUGUUUGUGAAAAGUUGUGUUUACUUGUGCAUUACACAAUAUCAUGUCCCGUAGACAACACGAGUGUCGUCAAAAGAUGCCUGUAAAACUUAUUUAGAAGGCGUUCCUCUGAAGGAUGUCUUUUAGACCUGCGUGUUGCUCGGGAUCUUUCUGCUACUUAUUUUUAACAAGUUACGCCUCUUCCUUAUACUUAUGUUGGCCAUUAAAGCAUUUUAUAUAUUAGCGAUACUUAUUAAAAAAAUCACAUUCGAACUAAUGAGUCAUUUCUUCUAUAAAAAUAACUCUGAAAUGAGUUGGGUCCAGCAACAAAUUGCGCCUCUCCUAAGUCUAAACAUCAACAGGCUAAUGGUCUCUCUGUACAGUAGGAAUCUUGAUCCAUUCUUUUAUCAUUAUAUUGUCCUCGUCGUAUAUAGUAAAUUACGCUGUCAGGAAAUAAGUAAAAAUAUACUUUUCUGUGUUAUACAAAACGUAAAUAUCGCCUCGCCCAUACUUGUAUUACAUCCCUUUAGACACAAAUAUAAAAAAGACAGAAUAAUCGCGUUUGUCCCUCGUAUGUAUGUAGAGAGAAAAUCGAAAACGCACCGAUCUCUUCCUCUAUUAAAGACCGGAUCAAACAAUUCUAAUGAACGAAGACGUAUUUCUUUAAACUUAUUGGCAGUGUUGGAAACUUUCAGAAUCCGUGAUUAAGUCGCUAAAACUGCAAGAUCGAACAUUUUGUCAAGGGACCGCAUAGAUAAUAUGCACAAUUAACAUAGAGGUUCUGCUGGCUGACAGAUAUUUUCUCGUUGCUAGAUCGUGCAUCUUUCAUACAAGAGUAGAAAAAAUUGAGAGAGAUUCUCUCGAUCAUCUCCUUUUUCCUCUUUCUUUCCUCUUUCUUUCGUCUUUUUUCUUUUAAAAGCUUUGCGCUUUGUAUCGCAGUUGAAUAAGGAGGCAUGAUAUGCGAGUAUUUACAUAUCUUGACUAAUCACUUUUUUUUCAUCUGUAUGAGUAAUACUGCUAUUACGUUGUUCCGCGAAAAAACAUAAAUUUUAUUUUUUCUCUCCUUUGCUCUCGCAUUUCAUCUCUUCUCGUUUUUUCCAUGUCCUUUCGCCGUUCGCAAUUUCGUACAAACUAUUACAAAUAUUACCAUUAUAAUGCGAAAUAACGAACAUUAGUUAGGCAGUAAGAGUUACCUUGUAUAGCUCACUGGAGAUUUUCUCUACAAAAUACAUCUAUAUUUUCGUUGAGAGAAAAGUGGUAUGCGGAAUCGCACUGAUCAGAAUUUCCUCGCAAAAUCAAUAUGAAUUUUGUGAUCGAACUUGCUAACAUUUGUGCAGAACGUGUUAUUACAAACAAUUAUUUCUCGUUGUACAUAAAAUUGGUCGAAAAAAUUAUUCUCAAAAUGGUCAAAUAAUCUAGACGAAGGCGAAGCUCGUUUAAUUCAAUUCAAAUAUUUCCUGAUCGAUCCCGUCGCAUUUCUCUCUCAAGAUUACAACCUCAAGGUUUCCUCUCGAGGAAGCAUCUCGGUCAUCAGUCUUUCGAUUAUCAUAAAAAAUACAGCCGUGUGACGUACCAUGCCAGCUUUACCACUCAAAAAGCGAUUGCGUGUGUAACAAUACAUCAUAUAUGUAUAUCAUGUUUUCAUCGGUGUUUAUCAAGAAUUCGCGAUGAAGAAUGACUAGUACUUUCUCUUUAGUACUUCAUAAACCCGCUAUUGACUUUAUGUUAUAUUUAUUAUCUACCAGGGUUG